AGCUAUGCAAUGAGCACAAAGCGAACUAUUCUUUCGCCUUUUACUAAAGAAUACCGUUGUACUAAAAUAGCAUACGCCUAUUUUUGGAGAGUUUUUUUCUUUUGAAAAGAC
rnacentral:snRNA from 1 species